GAAGCCACUAACAAAGUCUUAGGCCUGUGGGUAUUUUUCUCUCCCAGCCCUUCUGAGCACGUGGUAUUCCCUUGCUUUGGGACCUGGGCCCUUUGUGGUAGCAGAAUCAGAGCACAGAGGACAAUGCCUGGGGGCUUAUAGUAAGACCCAGAGUGUUGCUGGAGGUCUCAGGUCUAUCCAAAUUGGAGCUAGUAGAGCCUGAAGAAAAGUGGAACCACCCAGCCAAGCCAAGAAGGGUUAGUACUUCUGCUUUGAGAGCAGACCUCACACAAACAGAUGGGAAGCAGAAACGAGGGAAGAGGAUUGAAGAUGAACCCACGUUUUAAAAGUCCUUGUCUGCAGGAGGUGGCAUUACCUGUGACCUCGCUUCACUUCUUCAUACAUGGCUGUUGUAGCAGAUAUCAAACUGAGAUCAAAGGAACCCAACUUCAUCACACAUCUCUUCUCCGGAUUUCAAUUUUUACUUGAUCAUGUCUUCCCAUAUUAGAUCUUUUCCACUCAGUUUUUUGUCUCCAGCAUUUUCUCAAGCUAUCAUCUUGUUUGGAGGUAUCAUGGAUUCAGGAUCCAUGCCUAAGGAACAAAAGAAAAUGACUAUACCUAAGGACUUGCCACGGAGAAGGCAAUGGCACCCCACUCCAGUACUCUUCCCUGGAAAAUCCCAUGGACGGAGGGGCCUGGUAGGCUGCAGUCCGUGGGGUCUCUAGGAGUCGGACAAGACUGAGCGACUUCACUUUCACUUUUCACUUUCAUGUGUUGGAGAAGGAAAUGGCAACCCACUCCAGUGUUCUUGCCUGGAGAAUCCCAGUGUCGGGGAGCCUGGUGGGCUGCCGUCUAUGGGGUCGCACAGAGUCGGAUAUGACUGAACCGACUUAGCAGCAGCAAGGACUUGCCAAAUCUGGGCAACAGGCCACAUGUUAAUUAUCUUGUCUCACUCAGAAGGUAAAGCAUUGGCCUGCAAUGCAACAGACCCAGGUUUGAUCCAUGGGUCCGGAAGAUCCCCUGGAGAAGGAACUGGCAAAACAUGCUGUAUUCUUCCCUGGGGAAUUCAAUGGAGAGAGGAACCUGGUGGGCUACAGUCCAUGGGAUCCCAAAGAGUGAGGCACAACUGUGUGAAUAACACACACACUUCCCUAAUUUCCUGGGGUCUUCAAAUUCUAGGCUUUGUGUACUGAGUUGAAGAAGCCAUUUGAUGAAGCUCUAGGAGGAUGACCCAGAUGAAGCUCUCACGACUGAAUGCAGACAGUUGCCUACAUGUAAUCAUACACUCUUAC
ensembl:lncRNA